GUAGCUUGCUACAUUACCUAGCGGCGGACGGGUGAGUAAUGCUUAGGAAUCUGCCUAUUAGUGGGGGACAACAUUCCGAAAGGAAUGCUAAUACCGCAUACGUCCUACGGGAGAAAGCAGGGGACCUUCGGGCCUUGCGCUAAUAGAUGAGCCUAAGUCGGAUUAGCUAGUUGGUGGGUAAAGGCCUACCAAGGCGACGAUCUGUAGCGGGUCUGAGAGGAUGAUCCGCCACACUGGGACUGAGACACGGCCCAGACUCCUACGGGAGGCAGCAGUGGGGAAUAUUGGACAAUGGGGGGAACCCUGAUCCAGCCAUGCCGCGUGUGUGAAGAAGGCCUUUUGGUUGUAAAGCACUUUAAGCGAGGAGGAGGCUACUAGUAUUAAUACUACUGGAUAGUGGACGUUACUCGCAGAAUAAGCACCGGCUAACUCUGUGCCAGCAGCCGCGGUAAUACAGAGGGUGCGAGCGUUAAUCGGAUUUACUGGGCGUAAAGCGUGCGUAGGCGGCUGAUUAAGUCGGAUGUGAAAUCCCUGAGCUUAACUUAGGAAUUGCAUUCGAUACUGGUCAGCUAGAGUAUGGGAGAGGAUGGUAGAAUUCCAGGUGUAGCGGUGAAAUGCGUAGAGAUCUGGAGGAAUACCGAUGGCGAAGGCAGCCAUCUGGCCUAAUACUGACGCUGAGGUACGAAAGCAUGGGGAGCAAACAGGAUUAGAUACCCUGGUAGUCCAUGCCGUAAACGAUGUCUACUAGCCGUUGGGGCCUUUGAGGCUUUAGUGGCGCAGCUAACGCGAUAAGUAGACCGCCUGGGGAGUACGGUCGCAAGACUAAAACUCAAAUGAAUUGACGGGGGCCCGCACAAGCGGUGGAGCAUGUGGUUUAAUUCGAUGCAACGCGAAGAACCUUACCUGGUCUUGACAUAGUAAGAACUUUCCAGAGAUGGAUUGGUGCCUUCGGGAACUUACAUACAGGUGCUGCAUGGCUGUCGUCAGCU
rnacentral:rRNA from 1 species